AGUGAACGCUGGCGGUAGGCCUAACACAUGCAAGUCGAACGGCAGCACAGUAAGAGCUUGCUCUUACGGGUGGCGAGUGGCGGACGGGUGAGGAAUACAUCGGAAUCUACUUUUUCGUGGGGGAUAACGUAGGGAAACUUACGCUAAUACCGCAUACGACCUACGGGUGAAAGCAGGGGAUCUUCGGACCUUGCGCGAUUGAAUGAGCCGAUGUCGGAUUAGCUAGUUGGCGGGGUAAAGGCCCACCAAGGCGACGAUCCGUAGCUGGUCUGAGAGGCUGAUCAGCCACACUGGAACUGAGACACGGCCCAGAGUCCUACGGAAGGCAGCUGUGGGGAAUUUUGGACAAUGGGCGCAAGCCUGAUCCAGCAAUACCGCGUGGGUAAUGAAGGCCUUCGGGUUGUAAAGCCCUUUUGUUGGGAAAGAAAAGCAGCAGGUUAAAAACCCGCUGUUCUGACGGUACCCAAAGAAUAAGCACCGGCUAACUUCGUG
rnacentral:rRNA from 1 species